GCACGGGUACUUGUACCUGGUGGCGAGCGGCGGACGGGUGAGUAAUGCCUAGGAAUCUGCCUAGUAGUGGGGGAUAACGUCCGGAAACGGGCGCUAAUACCGCAUACGUCCUACGGGAGAAAGUGGGGGAUCUUCGGACCUCACGCUAUUAGAUGAGCCUAGGUCGGAUUAGCUAGUUGGUGAGGUAAUGGCUCACCAAGGCGACGAUCCGUAACUGGUCUGAGAGGAUGAUCAGUCACACUGGAACUGAGACACGGUCCAGACUCCUACGGGAGGCAGCAGUGGGGAAUAUUGGACAAUGGGCGAAAGCCAGAUCCAGCCAUGCCGCGUGUGUGAAGAAGGUCUUCGGAUUGUAAAGCACUUUAAGUUGGGAGGAAGGGCAGUUACCUAAUACGUGAUUGUUUUGACGUUACCGACAGAAUAAGCACCGGCUAACUCUGUGCCAGCAGCCGCGGUAAUACAGAGGGUGCAAGCGUUAAUCGGAAUUACUGGGCGUAAAGCGCGCGUAGGUGGUUUGUUAAGUUGGAUGUGAAAGCCCCGGGCUCAACCUGGGAACUGCAUCCAAAACUGGCAAGCUAGAGUAUGGUAGAGGGUGGUGGAAUUUCCUGUGUAGCGGUGAAAUGCGUAGAUAUAGGAAGGAACACCAGUGGCGAAGGCGACCACCUGGACUGAUACUGACACUGAGGUGCGAAAGCGUGGGGAGCAAACAGGAUUAGAUACCCUGGUAGUCCACGCCGUAGACGAUGUCAACUAGCCGUUGGGAGCCUUGAGCUCUUAGUGGCGCAGCUAACGCAUUAAGUUGACCGCCUGGGGAGUACGGCCGCAAGGUUAAAACUCAAAUGAAUUGACGGGGGCCCGCACAAGCGGUGGAUCAUGUGGUUUUAUUUCGAAGCAACGCGAAGAACCUUACCAGGCCUUGACAUCCAAUGAACUUUCUAGAGAUAGAUUGGUGCCUUCGGGAACAUUGAAAA
rnacentral:rRNA from 1 species